UACAGAGGGUGCGAGCGUUAAUCGGAAUUACUGGGCGUAAAGCGCGCGUAGGUGGUUAAUUAAGUUGACUGUGAAAUGCCAGGGCUUAACCUUGGGAAGUCAGUCAAGACUGGUUAACUUGAGUAGGGUAGAGGGAAGUGGAAUUUCCGGUGUAGCGGUGAAAUGCGUAGAUAUCGGAAAGAACAUCAGUGGCGAAGGCGGCUUCCUGGACCCAUACUGACACUCAUGCGCGAAAGCGUGGGGAGCAAACAGG
rnacentral:rRNA from 1 species